rnacentral:rRNA from 1 species
UGGAGGGCAAGUCUGGUGCCAGCAGCCGCGGUAAUUCCAGCUCCAAUAGCGUAUAUUAAAGUUGUUGCAGUUAAAAAGCUCGUAGUUGAACCUUGGGCCUGGCUGGCCGGUCCGCCUCACCGCGUGCACUGGUUCGGCCGGGCCUUUCCCUCUGGGGAACCCUAUGGUCUUCACUGAUCGUAGCGGGGAACCAGGACUUUUACUGUAAAAAAAUUAGAGUGUUCAAAGCAGGCCUAUGCUCGAAUACAUUAGCAUGGAAUAAUAAAAUAGGACGUGUGGUUCUAUUUUGUUGGUUUCUAGGACCGCCGUAAUGAUUAAUAGGGACAGUCGGGGGCAUCAGUAUUCAAUUGUCAGAGGUGAAAUUCUUGGAUUUAUUGAAGACUAACUACUGCGAAAGCAUUUGCCAAGGAUGUUUUCAUUAAUCAGGAACGAAAGUUAGGGGAUCGAAGACGAUCAGAUACCGUCGUAGUCUUAACCAUAAACUAUGCCGACUAGGGAUCGGACGGUGUUAUUUUUGACCCGUUCGGCACCUUACGGGAAAC